rnacentral:lncRNA from 1 species
AAUGACCCUGUUUUUUACACAGAGGACCCUUUGGUCCACCCACUUCAACCCCUUUGCUUCCCUAUAAAUAGAGGUAUUAUUUCCCCUCAUUUUCAUGUUUCCUAGCCCCCAAAAGUUCUGUCCAAGUACCAUUUUCUCUCCUCUCCAAACCUAAGUCAAAACAAAAAAUCUUUCUCACUUAGAAAAGUCACUCCACCAACUUUUCUUUGUG